rnacentral:rRNA from 1 species
AACGAACGCUGGCGGCAGGCCUAACACAUGCAAGUCGAACGUGAAGCCGCCUUCGGGUGGUGGAAAGUGGCAGACGGGUGAGUAACGCGUGGGAACGUGCCUUUCGGUUCGGAAUAACCCAGGGAAACUUGGGCUAAUACCGGAUACGCCCUUCGGGGGAAAGAUUCAUCGCCGAAAGAUCGGCCCGCGUCGGAUUAGCUAGUUGGUAGGGUAAUGGCCUACCAAGGCGACGAUCCGUAGCUGGUCUGAGAGGAUGACCAGCCACACUGGGACUGAGACACGGCCCAGACUCCUACGGGAGGCAGCAGUGGGGAAUAUUGGACAAUGGGCGAAAGCCUGAUCCAGCCAUGCCGCGUGGGUGAAGAAGGCCUUAGGGUUGUAAACCCCUUUCAGCGGGGAAGAUAAUGACGGUACCCGCAGAAGAAGCCCCGGCUAACUCCGUGCCAGCAGCCGCCGUAAUAC